ACAGGAAACAGCUUGCUGUUUCGCUGACGAGUGGCGGACGGGUGAGUAAUGUCUGGGAAACUGCCUGAUGGAGGGGGAUAACUACUGGAAACGGUAGCUAAUACCGCAUAACGUCGCAAGACCAAAGAGGGGGACCUUCGGGCCUCUUGCCAUCGGAUGUGCCCAGAUGGGAUUAGCUAGUAAGUGGGGUAACGGCUCACCUAGGCGACGAUCCCUAGCUGGUCUGAGAGGAUGACCAGCCACACUGGAACUGAGACACGGGCCAGACUCCUACGGGAGGCAGCAGUGGGGAAUAUUGCACAAUGGGCGCAAGCCUGAUGCAGCCAUGCCGCGUGUAUGAAGAAGGCCUUCGGGUUGUAAAGUACUUUCAGCGGCGAGGAAGGGAGUAAAGUUAAUACCUUUGGUCAUUGACGUUACCCGCAGAAGAAGCACCGGCUAACUCCGUGCCAGCAGCCGCGGUAAUACGGAGGGUGCAAGCGUUAAUCGGAAUUACUGGGCGUAAAGCGCACGCAGGCGGUUUGUUAAGUCAGAUGUGAAAUCCCCGGGCUCAACCUGGGAACUGCAUCUGAUACUGGCAAGCUUGAGUCUCGUAGAGGGGGGUAGAAUUCCAGGUGUAGCGGUGAAAUGCGUAGAGAUCUGGAGGAAUACCGGUGGCGAAGGCGGCCCCCUGGACGAAGACUGACGCUCAGGUGCGAAAGCGUGGGGAG
rnacentral:rRNA from 1 species